rnacentral:tRNA from 1 species
GCCCCGAUAGCUCAGUUGGUAGAGCGACUGGCUGUUAACCAGUAGGUCGUCGGUUCAAGUCCGACUCGGGGCG